AAACAUGCAAAUUCAAUAGAUUGCAGAGAUUAUGUAGGCCU
rnacentral:ncRNA from 2 species